rnacentral:rRNA from 1 species
CCCGCACAAGCGGUGGAGCAUGUUGGUUUAAUUCGAAGCAACGCGAAGUACCUUACCAGGUCUUGACACUCCGAUGCUAUUUCUAGGGAUAGAAAGUUACUUCGGUACAUCGGUGACAGGUGGUGCAUGGUUGUCGUCAGCUCGUGUCGUGAGAUGUUGGGUUAAGUCCCGCAACGAGCGCAACCCCUAUUGUUAGUUGCCAUCAUUCAGUUGGGCACUCUAGCGAGACUGCCGGUAAUAAACCGGAGGAAGUGGGGAUGACGUCAAAUCAUCAUGCCCCUUAUGACCUGGGCUACACACGUGCUACAAUGGUUGGUACAACGAGUUGCGAGUCGGUGACGGCGAGCUAAUCUCUUAAAGCCAAUCUCAGUUCGGAUUGUAGGCUGCAACUCGCCUACAUGAAGUCGGAAUCGCUAGUAAUCGCGGAUCAGCACGCCGCGGUGAAUACGUUCCCGGGCCUU